rnacentral:rRNA from 1 species
CGAGUUUGAUCAUGGCUCAGGAUGAACGCUAGCGGCAGGCUUAAUACAUGCAAGUCAAGGGGGUAGCAAUACAACCGGCGCACGGGUGAGUAACACGUACACAACAUACCAUAUACUGAGGUAUAGCUUCGGGAAACUGAAGGUAAUCCCUCAUAGUAUUGUGAAAGGGCAUCUUUUUACAAUUAAAGUUUCGACGGUAUAUGAUUGGUGUGCGUUUGAUUAGCUAGUUGGUAGGGUAACGGCCUACCAAGGCAACGAUCAAUAGCUGGCGUGAGAGCGCGACCAGCCACACUGGAACUGAGACACGGUCCAGACUCCUACGGGAGACAGCAGUAGGGAAUAUUGGACAAUGGGCGAAAGCCUGAUCCAGCCAUGCCGCGUGAUAGAUGAAGGCCCUCUGGGUUGUAAAUAUCUUUUAUCUGGGAAGAAACACUUCUAUUCUUAGAAGCUUGACGGUACCAGAGGAAUAAGCACCGGCUAACUCCGUG